rnacentral:rRNA from 1 species
UACGUAGGGUGCGAGCGUUAAUCGGAAUUACUGGGCGUAAAGCGUGCGCAGGCGGUUUUUUAAGCCGGAUGUGAAAUCCCCGGGCUCAACCUGGGAAUGGCAUUUGGGACUGCAAGGCUGGAGUGCGGCAGAGGAGACUGGAAUUCCUGGUGUAGCAGUGAAAUGCGUAGGUAUCAGGAGGAACACCGAUGGCGAAGGCAGGUCUCUGGGCUGACACUGACGCUCAUGCACGAAAGCGUGGGGAGCAAACAGG